rnacentral:ncRNA from 1 species
AGAAGCCUUCGGGGUCGGGUGAAAAUCCCAGCCGGCGGUAAUGAGCAAAUGCUCCAAGCCCGCGACGGAAGACCAGUGUAAAGCACGGUUUUCCCUGAUUUGGUGAAAAUCCAAAGCCGACAGUUAAAGUCUGGAUGGGAGAAGGUUAUA